AUGAUCUCCUGUUGGGGAUUUCUCCCUUGUGUUGUUUUCCUCACAAGUCUAGAUCUGAGUUGGCAGCGCUUGGAAUUCAUGAUUGACUAAAACUCAGAAAUGAAUUUAUAAGUAAACCUACUCACUGGUUUUACUUCACAAAAAAAUCAAAUUGGUUUUUAUUUUUAUUCAAGUAAAUGUGGAAUGAUGUACUAACAUACAUUGAUGUACAGUGAAGAGCAAUAUUAAACUGACUGGAGAAGGUUCAAUUUAGAGAAAAAUGCCACCUUUCAUCGGUUAAGAGGAUAUAUCAGCAGAAUGAAAGAAGGAAGAGCCAUGGGAAUGGGACGUGUUCCAACAGGAUGUAAGCUGUAAAAAUACACACCAGGAAGAGAAAGGAAGCAGUGGGGUGUUUCAGUUACACUGUGUAUCUGCAUGAAGGUCAUGUCAGAGAGAAGAGUGGAAGACUGGAGAGGAAUGCCUGGAAAGCAUGACGGCAUCACCAACCCACACAAAAGGAAAAUGUGGAUGCCCCAUCCUUGGAGGCAUUCAAGGCCAGGCUGGAUGUGGCUCUGGAGAGCCUGGUUUGCUGGUUGGCGAUCCUGCUCACAGCAGGGGGGUGUUGAAACCAGGUGAUCAUUCUGGAUGUUUUCAACCCAGGCCAUUCUAUGAACAACUCUCAUACACCCACGCUUACAAUCAAUGUGCAUUUUGAGCUGUAUUCACGUUUACAGAAAUUGAUUCAAGGCCCCAUAUCACCACCACAGCUAAUUUCCAUCGGAAUACAAUGUUUCCUUAAUUAAGCAAGGCACGCAGCUGAUGGCCGUUUGGUUUGACUUAGAAAUGGCUAAUUAGUUAUCAAAUCCCUUAAUAGUUCAUGCUGAAGAUUCUGUCAUUACUUGUUGCUCCUCUCAAUCUUUAUUAUCACAAACCCUUUAAAAAUGCCUCAGCAGAAAAAAACCACCGUGCCCAUUAAUCCUUUCCAGGAAAGAACACCAGUACCAGAUUAAGUCAAACUGGCAUCUGAAGCUAUUCUUUUCUUUAUGUCACAUAGUAAGUGGUCGGUAAUCCACGUCUUAAUCUCCUUGUUGCACAGCUUGGUUUAUCGUAACUGAUACUCCUGUGACUGCUGCAGACCCCUAUUGUGUUACCUGCAGCACUCAGCUCUUCUUCCUGUUUUUUUCCCCUGGAAUGUCUGAUAAAGGCACCCUUGAAGUUGACCACAGUCUCCUGAGAAACUGCUUUUCAGAGAAAAUGUGACUACUUUAAAGAUGCACUUGUGUUACUUUUGGCUUUUCCCCUGAGCAAAGGCUCAACCAAUAUUUCUGCUUUCUGAUAACACGUGAAUUUAACUGCAGCUUACGGAAAGCCUCCUUUAAAUCCCCUAUUCUAGUUCAAUAUAUUUUUUGUCUCGGAUGUAAUUAUACCUCGUGUCAACGCUUGAACACCAGGGAAAAUAUAAAAAGCUGCAAGAAGUGAAAUUUCCCUUGACCAAUAAAUACAAAAUAAAAAUGCGGAUGACUUCUCCAUGUAGAAAUGAGAACAGACAUAAGUAUUUAGGUCCCCAAAAAUUAAGCAUUUCAUAAACUUUUUGGAAUUGGGGCCCUGGAAAGUUGGUAUUCUCUAAAUCUUAAGCCUUUAGGAAAAAAAACAGAUGUACUAAGCUCCAGACUUCAGAGCUCAGAACAGUUGCUGCAGAAACUCAGCAUCUUGAUUUGUGCUUAACUACUUUACAGUUCACAUAUUCCUUGUUUGAACUUUGCUAGGUGCAGUAAUUUUAUUCACGCUUGGGCUGGAUUGGUUCUGCUUAUUCAGACCUCGUUAAUUAUAAGAAACGGGACUCAAGCUCACAUAUCCCAUUCACCCAUCCUGCCCUCAGGGCAGUCAAAUUAUCUGGCAUUUAAUGAGGAGUUUUAGAUUUUGCAACUUAUCAGAAGUGGGCCCAGCAAGUGCAAACUGGUGAGUUCAAUGCAGAGGGACUUCUCUGGGACUUGCUUCAAAACAGA